ACGUGAGUAACCUGCCCUUGACUCUGGGAUAAGCCUGGGAAACUGGGUCUAAUACCGGAUAUGACUCCUCAUCGCAUGGUGGGGGGUGGAAAGCUUUUGUGGUUUUGGAUGGACUCGCGGCCUAUCAGCUUGUUGGUGGGGUAAUGGCCUACCAAGGCGACGACGGGUAGCCGGCCUGAGAGGGUGACCGGCCACACUGGGACUGAGACACGGCCCAGACUCCUACGGGAGGCAGCAGUGGGGAAUAUUGCACAAUGGGCGCAAGCCUGAUGCAGCGACGCCGCGUGAGGGAUGACGGCCUUCGGGUUGUAAACCUCUUUCAGUAGGGAAGAAGCGUAAGUGACGGUACCUGCAGAAGAAGCGCCGGCUAACUACGUGCCAGCAGCCGCGGUAAUACGUAGGGCGCAAGCGUUAUCCGGAAUUAUUGGGCGUAAAGAGCUCGUAGGCGGUUUGUCGCGUCUGCUGUGAAAGACCGGGGCUCAACUCCGGUUCUGCAGUGGGUACGGGCAGACUAGAGUGCAGUAGGGGAGACUGGAAUUCCUGGUGUAGCGGUGAAAUGCGCAGAUAUCAGGAGGAACACCGAUGGCGAAGGCAGGUCUCUGGGCUGUAACUGACGCUGAGGAGCGAAAGCAUGGGGAGCGAACAGGAUUAGAUACCCUGGUAGUCCAUGCCGUAAACGUUGGGCACUAGGUGUGGGGGACAUUCCACGUUUUCCGCGCCGUAGCUAACGCAUUAAGUGCCCCGCCUGGGGAGUACGGCCGCAAGGCUAAAACUCAAAGGAAUUGACGGGGGCCCGCACAAGCGGCGGAGCAUGCGGAUUAAUUCGAUGCAACGCGAAGAACCUUACCAAGGCUUGACAUGAACCGGAAAGACCUGGAAACAGGUGCCCCGCUUGCGGUCGGUUUACAGGUGGUGCAUGGUUGUCGUCAGCUCGUGUCGUGAGAUGUUGGGUUAAGUCCCGCAACGAGCGCAACCCUCGUUCUAUGUUGCCAGCGGUUCGGCCGGGGACUCAUAGGAGACUGCCGGGGUCAACUCGGAGGAAGGUGGGGACGACGUCAAAUCAUCAUGCCCCUUAUGUCUUGGGCUUCACGCAUGCUACAAUGGCCGGUACAAAGGGUUGCGAUACUGUGAGGUGGAGCUAAUCCCAAAAAGCCGGUCUCAGUUCGGAUUGGGGUCUGCAACUCGACCCCAUGAAGUCGGAGUCGCUAGUAAUCGCAGAUCAGCAACGCUGCGGUGAAUACGUUCCCGGGCCUUGUACACACCGCCCGUCAAGUCACGAAAGUUGGUAACACCCGAAGCCGGUGGCCUAAC
rnacentral:rRNA from 1 species